rnacentral:rRNA from 1 species
CCUACGGGAGACAGCAGUGGGGAAUAUUGCGCAAUGGGCGAAAGCCUGACGCAGCGACGCCGCGUGAGGGAUGAAGGUCUUCGGAUCGUAAACCUCUGUCAGCGGGGACGAACGGUCACUGUGCUAAUAAUCAUUGAAUUGACGGUACCUUCAGAGUAAGCACCGGCUAACUCCGUGCCAGCAGCCUCGGUAAUACGGAGGGUGCGAGCGUUAAUCGGAAUUACUGGGCGUAAAGCGCUCGUAGGCGGUAUGGCAAGUCAAGGGUGAAAUCCCCGGGCUCAACGUGGGAACUGCCUUUGAAACUGGUAAACUGGAGUGUGUGAGAGGAGAGUGGAAUUCCAGGUGUAGGAGUGAAAUGCGUAGAUAUCUGGAGGAACAUCAGUGGCGAAGGCGACUAUCUGGCACAUAACUGACGCUGAGGAGCGAAAGCGUGGGUAGCAAACAGGAUUAGAUACCCUUGUAGUC